CAGCGCCCGGCGGCCGCAUGGGCACGGCGAGGCGUGCGGCGCCUCCCUGCAGCGGCUGCUUCGGGACCAGUGGGCAACGCCCGCGAGGGGCGGCGUCCGUCCGUCCGUCCAUCCAUCCAUCCGUCCGUCCAUCCCUGCGUGGGUGGCGGCUCGUGUGCGUGUGUGUGACUGACACUGCGGCGCGCACAGCGCGGGAGCAGCAGCGCUCCCGCCCGCAGCGAACGGGGCUGGAGGGUGGGGGGGACGCCGGCGCGCCCCGGCUGCGGCAGCCCCGUCUCCGUCCCCCGGAGCCCUCCCCGAUGGGGGCGACCUCAGCGGCCUCGCUGCUCCUCCUCCUCCCUCCUGGCGGCUGGCAUCAGCCAAAAUGAACAAUGGCCUUUCAAAAAUACUCUGGAAAGGAGCAGGACACCCCAGAAAAGGCUGCAGCGGUAAUAUCUACUAUGCAUCAAAGAAUUCAGGCACAGAGGACAUCUUGAAGCACAGGUGCAUAGCAAUCAGGUUUCUUUGUUACAACUACUUAUUUGCUCUGCUUGAUUUUAUGCGAGAUUUUUUUUCUGUUUAAAAUUUAUAUUAAAUAAGAAGAGAGACUCAGCAGCGUAACAGCCUAUCUUAUAAUUCCUUCUUUCUCUAAGAUAUUAUUGUUAAAAUAUGUCUAUCAUCAGUUUCCACUGGAAGUUCUUUAGCUUCAGAAGGAGGGAGUAAUUUAUCACAUGCUUGUAAAGCAGCCAGCUUGCCUUUCCUGGGCAGAUCCUGGCACAACAGUUGUUUAAGGAGCAGUAAGUAGUUCACUGAGUAACACAGAAAAUGCUUUCAUUUCUGAAACAAACAAUUUGGAGCCAUUUUUGUGGCGACAUAUAAGCUCAGAAUAAUUGAGUUACUUGCCUAUGUCCCGGGUCAUUUUUGGGAAUAAACAUCCACAGUGACUGCCAGUGCAGUUCAUGAAACUCACAGCUGCAUUAAUGCAGGUAGCAGUGUCAGUCAUCUCUUGAGCAAGUGUAUGAUGGAAACUGUGCCCAGAAUACCCAUGAUCACAGGGUCUAUUCUGGCAUCAGGUCAUACUACAGGCUUUGAGAGACAAAAAAAAAAACAAAACAAAAAAACACUUGAGAGAGGCCCGCUACACGAAGCAGUAACUCCUGGGUAUACAAGCAAGGAUAUAAGUCCUGGGUAUACAAAGACUUUGGUACAAAUGCCAUGCUCAAACUCAUGGUCCCUUCCAGGCAGGCCCACAACUACAAGACCUCAGGUGUUUAAAUUAGGAUCUUCUGGGCUGCUAUUGCUGAAAUACAAAUUUUAAACUUGGCACUGUGUUAGUGGUAAGCUGUCUUCUGUAUUGAAACACCUUGUGUGCCCUGAAGAAAAUUGUAGGCCAUAGAGGACCUCAUAUAGUAUGUGUAAAAUGCAGAAAAACAUGGAUACAUUAUCUUUUUCAAUGAAGUAUCCACUUCACAUACAGCUUUGCAGGAUGUCAAAAAAGUGGUUUUCAAAUGGAACUGGAAAUGCAUGAAAAUGAAUGGUGAUGUUUUUUCACUUUAUAGUUCUAUUUCCUCUAGUUUGUCUUAAUUUUUAUGAAUACAUAGCUGUAUAAAUGUAAGUAUAGGUUUUCUUUAUGCAUAAAUGUAUGCAAUAUAUGUUUUGGACAAUAAAUUUUACACAGUGAUAUGUUUAAAUCACAGAUUAUAUUUGCUGUACUAGUGCACUAGUACACAUUAUGUAGUAUGAUAUAUAACACAGUGAAAAUGGAUGUAUUCUAUGUAUAUAUAAUGAGUAUUUACACAUUGACAUGUCUAUAUAGAAAUAGUAGAAAACAUUAGAAUAUUUACUGUUACAGAAUACUACCCAUAUUCCAUAUAUAUGUAUGUGCCCCAAGCAGUUUGCAUGCCUCUUUUUGGAGCAGCCUCUCUAGGAAAGGUCCGUGCAUCUUAAUUGACCUAUUGUUGCUGUACGCUUGAUCACAUUUCUGUAGUCUGAGGCAGAGACUGAACACAAGUUAACUGCAAUUAAAGCAGUGUGUGAUUCUGGCCCACAGCCUGCACAAGUUUGGAUACAGCUCAGUGUCCUGCUUAAUGUGACAAAAAGCUGCAGUUUGCCCUUAGACUAAAGGUUGAAGUAUGAUUUUAUUUUUUAUGCAGCUCCUGUUUUCACUGGCACCAAGUUUUUAAAGCAAGUGCUCCCCUCUGAGUGCUACAGGAGGGCUCUGAAGUGAGUAAGGUCCCUGAUGUAGAUAAAAAAAAGCUCUGUCACUGUCCUACACCCUUCCAGCCUCUGAGAACCUUCUGUGUAGGCAGCCCAUUAUUCAAAGUAAGAAUGUUCACAACCACACUCUAAGGGUAAGAAUUAAAAAUGUAUUAGUGAUAGUGAUUAAUAAUUCAAGUGUGAAUUUCAAGAAGCUAGCAAAGGUUCCAAGCACUGUAUACACGUGUGUUUGUCUAUGUGUGGAGGGUGAUGUUGUCUGUGUAUGUUUCAGUGAUCUAUUUGAAAAAAUAAAGUAAAAUUACCUACGUAUUGUGUAUGUGAAAAGAAGUUACAUAUUUGGUUAUUCAUUCCACAUCCAUUUGACAGUGAGAUAGACUUUGGGAGACUGCAUCUUAUGUACUCUCCCCUCUGAAUUCAUAACAACUUGAGAUCCUUUUAGUGAUUUUAUUGGAAUUUGUUUUUAAGAAAUAUUUUUCUCUGGAGAAAGAAAAAAAUUAAUGCUGCUGAUAUUGAAUACUUGAUAUUAUCUAUGUGAAUCUAUCAAAUAAUCAUUUGGGUAAGUCUUCUACUGGAUUAGCCUAUUUACCCCCAUUACCACUUGUCCUGCAGUUUCAUUUGAAUGCAAAAUUUUAGUUUCCUCUGCUAUCUCACCAGUUAUGUCUUCUAAUCACAGUCCAGACCUAAAGGGUCUUAGUGUCACCGUUCUUGGUGUCACUAGUGUUUGUAUGAUUACAUGAUGAUUACAUGCUUUUUCUAACUGAUUUUUGUUCCAUGCACACACUGUUCAAACUGCUUUCAUGCAUGGGCAAGCUGGCAUGGCUCUUGUGCUCAUUUCCAGCAAAUACUCAGCGUAGUCAUUAAAACCAUAUUGGUAAUUCACCUCAGCCACCUUCUGUAAGCUUUAUAUCAACCACUAGUCAUUGUCAGCCUGCGUCCCAUUGCAUCCUCACUCAUGAACACAGAAAGCCCAUCCACUAACAUAAAAUUUUAAUCCUAGUUUUGCUAUGUGAAUCCUAGUUUUGCUAUGCUACUGUGAAACAGAUAGAUGCACUUCAUUUUGUGUAUGUGUGAAAAAUUCGACUAGAAUUAGAUAUUGCAGAAUUCUAAUGAUAAAAUAUAGCCAAAGUACAUCUUUCUGCUGAGAUCAGUUUUCUUUAUAAGCAUCAAACACAUCUAUUCAAUGCCCAAUAAAAUUCUUUUCUUUUACAGCUCCUGGGGAUAGAGAACACAGCACAUUGUAACAACAGCAAUAGACUCAGCCGUGAGAGAUCUUUAUCAGGCAUCACAAAGAAUUUGAGGCAGCUGGCAGUUAUCAGCUGAAACAGGUAGUCACUAGAAGUAUAGAAGAUAAAUAGAUAAUAGAAAAGCAAUCUGGAAACCUGGGAGAGAUAAUAAACCACUCUUCUAGAGGGGAGGUAACAACUUAGGUAGGUCACUGAUGAACUCAACUCCCAGAUCACUACUGUGUGUAAUACUGCUGAAAAUACAGCUGCAGUUUACUGCUCGUGCUUGUCAGGUCUCUUGUAGUGUUCAAAAUGUUGUUGGAAACACAGUUUGACAUAUUCAGUUACAUAAAUCACUAUCACAGGGAAGUGAAGAAGGCUCCUGCAGCUGAAAAAAGCUGACCGCAAUCCUAGGGGCACCAUGACCCUCUGUUAAAUUACAGUUGCUAGACUAGGAAGCUACUUAUUCUACUUGCUGUUGUCUAUACUGCCAGUGCAAUCAUUACAUAAUGUUCCUGUUAUGUCUAUCAUAGUCUUCUGUGGAGCAUAUGAUUUCUUUUUUUUUGUAAUUUCUUGUCAUCUAGAAAUACUUUUUCUACCAUUAUGCUUAUCCUAAUACAAGCACAGAGAAGAGAGAGAAAGAAAGGAGUCAUACAGACACCAAGGUUGGAAAACACUUCAAAGAUCACCCAGUCCAACCAUCCACCUAUCACCAAUAUUUACCCAAUAACCACGUCUCUCAGUACAACGUUUAAAUGGUUCUUGAACAUCUCCAGGGGCAGUAACUUCACCAGCUCCCUGGACAGUUCUUUCCAGUGCCUGACCACUCUUUCAGAGAAGACAUUUUUAUUAAUAUCCAAUCUGACACAACUUGAGGCCAUCCUAUCUAGUCCUAUCACUAGUGGGACCUCAUCACAACCUCCUUUCAGGUAGCUGUAGAGAGUGAUAAGGUCACUCCUGAGCCUCCUCUUCUCCAGACUGAACAAUUCCAGAUCCUUCAGCUGCUUCUGAUAAAACUUAUGCUCCAGAUCUUUCACAGCUUUGUUGUCCUUCUCUGGGCAUACUCCAGAGCCUCAAUGUCUUUCUUGUAGUGGGAGGUCCAAAACUGAAAACAGCACUCAAAGUGUAGCCUCAUCAGUGCUGAGUACAGAGGAAAUAUGAUACUUUUAGUAGACAUUUAUUAAAACAGACAAAACAUCUUUCACUGUAAAGCACUCUUACAAUUCCCAAGUUCUUACUUGUUAAGAAGUGAAAUCUUGCAUGAACACACAAGGAAAAUGAUACCAUUUGAUAACUCUUCUUACUGUUUUCUGUGAUUCUGUAGAACAACAGAGGGAGAUAACAUCAGGAUAUAUUGAUUUGCCAAAGAAGCCACAGAAUAGAAAUUCUGUGUAAUAGAAUAUAGAAUAGAAAGAAUGUAGAAUAGAAAGGACAUCUUUCUACCAAAUAAAUACUGAAGUUAUUCAACUGGCAUAUUUCUUGAUGAUUUCUUGACAUCUUUCAUGUGAUUCUAUGAUUCUAUGAUUUCUUGAGUUAGUUAACUCUUUCAUGUGGACUGCAUAAGGUAGCUGAUGUCAAUGGAUCAGAACCAGAAAAAAAAAAAGGGCAGGAGGAGAGGGAGGAGGGAAAGAAAGAAGAUUUGCUCAGUUUGCUUAAAAAGAUGCUUAAAUAAAACUUGUUUGUACCACAGAAACUAGAAAUCAUUCCAUACAUUUACAAUGAAAGACCAAAAAACAAGUCAAAUUCAUCAAAUGUUUCCAGAGUGCUAGCUACCAAUAUUAAAACUAUGCAGCUAUCCGAGGUGGAGCCAUCUCUGUAGGAGAUAUAAAUAGAGGAAAGUCUUAGAGUCUCCUGUUCAUAUUCCCUAAUUGUGCAUAAAAAGGGUCAUCCCUCAUUAGCCUGUGGUGGUCAAAAGUGAAUUCAGUGCUCUGAAGAUGAAGAGAUGAAGAUGCCUGUUCUGCAUAGGUACAUGAACUAACUGUUCAAACAAACACCAUGGUGUAGUGUACCCAGAGACACUUGCUGUCCUGCCAGUGGAAAAUGAAAGGCAUCCCACUUAGAUAUUCUUUAUUUCCUCUUUGAGGCAUUUAACCCACUGACUGUGUGAUGGCUGGGAUAUCUAAAGGAAGAAGUCUGAAUCAUCCUGUCAGGUAGAUGUUUUAACACUGGCCGCUACCACAGUCUGAAUAUUACCCUAAAUAAUAUCAAUAGGUUGGUCUGUAGAAAUAUAACACUUUUCUCAAGCUAACAUGAAAAAUCAGAACCUAUUGACUGUGCAAUUAAUUUUCCAUACUUUCCUUCAUUGCGUUGAAAGCAUUGGACUAUAUGUUCAAAAACAUGCGUGAAGAGCUUUUAGUUAUUGUCUUUAUGUCUUGGUAAAAUUAAGCUUUAUUUUGCAGCUCUCCUCUGGGAGAGCUGCAUUUUACCAGAGUGUGUAAAACCUAACAGUAAAUAUUAUGUUUUGAUGAGUGUUUUUGCGUGGUUCAGAAAUAAAACUCCUCAACAUAUCUUGUAUUUUAUUCUUUACCGAUUACAUCAAAAAUGUAGUUGUGCAAUUUAUUGUCUCCAGGUAGUUUCUGUCAUUCCUGUGUAGAGCUACAGUAGACAAUCCUGUAUAAGAACUUAUAAUUUAUAGAAAUUUAUUUUUCCAAUGGGUCAUGAGACUGAGAUAUUUUCUGUUAUCUUGGGAUUGCAUUGCUAUGUCACAAAAUCAGUAAUAAAUUAUUUUUU